AGCAGAUAGUUUACAUUAGGGUAUUUGCAUACAUCUGAUCCCCAUGUGUUUCAUAUCAAAAUGUUCAGAACAAACUUAGCUUUCCAUAUAGUGAUGGCCAAUUUUUUUCUAGAGCGAUGUGUAAAGAGAUAAUUUGGGGCUGAAACAUUCAUGUUGGCUUUUUGAAAUUCCUCAAAUCUCUUUUGAAAACAAACCUUAACUUAUGAUGCGUUGUACGGAUUGUUUCGGUGCUUAAAAUAAGUUUACCAAAGUCUUAGGU